GGGCGUAUAACUCAGUUGGUAGAGUGCUCGCUUCGCAUGCGAGAAGUCUGGAGUUCGAAUCUCCAUUCGUCCA
rfam:Pneumocystis jirovecii, SE8, WGS project CAKM01000000 data, contig: 229